CAAUAGCGUAUAUUUAAGUUGUUGCAGUUAAAAAGCUCGUAGUUGGAUUUCGGGUGGGACGCAGCGGUCUCGCAUUGCGUUUGUACUGCUGCAGCCCUCCUUCUUGCCGGGGGCGGCCUCUCGGACUUCACUAUCUGGGGGUCAGAAUCGGCGAUGUUACUUUGAGUAAAUUAGAGUGUUCAAAGCAAGCUUACGCUCUGAAUAUAAUAGCAUGGGAUAACACGACAGGACUCUGGCCUAUCGUGUUGGUCUAUAGGACCAGAGUAAUGAUUAAGAGGGACAGUCGGGGGCAUUCGUAUUCCGUUGUCAGAGGUGAAAUUCUUGGAUUUACGGAAGACGAACAUCUGCGAAAGCAUUUGCCAAGGAUGUUUUCAUUGA
rnacentral:rRNA from 1 species